GGAGGGUGCAAGCGUUAAUCGGAAUUACUGGGCGUAAAGCGCACGCAGGCGGUCUGUCAAGUCGGAUGUGAAAUCCCCGGGCUCAACCUGGGAACUGCAUUCGAAACUGGCAGGCUAGAGUCUUGUAGAGGGGGGUAGAAUUCCAGGUGUAGCGGUGAAAUGCGUAGAGAUCUGGAGGAAUACCGGUGGCGAAGGCGGCCCCCUGGACAAAGACUGACGCUCAGGUGCGAAAGCGUGGGGAGCAAACAGGAUUAGAUACCCUGGUAGUCCACGCCGUAAACGAUGUCGACUUGGAGGUUGUGCCCUUGAGGCGUGGCUUCCGGAGCUAACGCGUUAAGUCGACCGCCUGGGGAGUACGGCCGCAAGGUUA
rnacentral:rRNA from 2 species